rnacentral:tRNA from 1 species
AUUUGUGUAGUUUAACUAAAACAUUACAUUUUCACUGUAAAAAUAAAGACUCAUCUUUUACAAAUA